UAUAAUGUGUCUAUUUAUUGCCGCUAAAAGUUAUUUUUGUGAUAGUUAUAUGCCAACUUUCACUUCAAUCCGAGUAAUUAGAGACAGUUCAAUCAAACAUACUAGGAUCUUGCUUUAUAGAUGUGACCCUGAUUUUUCUUUAUUGUCCAGCUUAAGUUGUCUGGACUUCUCAAAAUUGUUAUUGUAUUUGUAUUGGAUUUUUCAAAAUACACUAUUUUGGAGUAUAUGACAAAAACUAAUCGAUAUUUUUAAAGAAUUUGAGCAACAUAUAUAGGUAUAAUCUAAGAUUAGCUAGAAAAAAUAAAAGUAAAAAAGGAGAUAAAUACAGUAUUUUUUUCAAGUGUAACAUCAUAAUGUUGUGUAGCAAUUUCAUUAACGUUCUUAGUAAGAAGCAUGAACAGGUUUAGUAUAAGAGCAUGCAACAAUUGGAAAGUACAUUAAAGCUGUAAAAGUUGGAAAGCGGAAGAGCAAAAGAAUGUAUAUUAUGAGGUCUUAGAUUCAAAUUUCAUUGGAAACAAAAACA
rnacentral:lncRNA from 1 species